UCUUUCAGGGGCCCUGGCACCUGGAAAGCAUUUAUCGGUCAGCCGUGCGGCAACGUAGUACAGUGCGAUAUAUAUUAACCGUACCGUAAAGUGAAAUCUACCGUACCGGAGACAGGCGUAGUUGGCGCAUGCGCCGUACGAGCGCAUCGCCUAGCCGCCAUUGUCGCUUCAGAGCUCAACCGCAGCGGACACGAGUGGUUUCUGCGAGUGAUUUCUUCUGUCCCAUGCCGAAGGCGCGCGCGCCGGUGCGCGGCCGCGCAGUGAGCCAGCCGGACGGCGCUGCGCGCGCCCGCCGCCAAUCCACGCGGCGCCAGUCCGGCGCGUCAGUCCCCGCCGGGCCCCGGCGGCGAGCAGCCGCGCCGCCCCGCGGCAGACAGCCGUCGGAGCCAGCCGCUACGCAGCGGCCCGCUGUCGCCGGGCAGGCGGUCGUGCUCGACGCCGCUCAGUUGCGGGCCGUCGUCGCAGACGUCGUGCGGGACGCGCUGCUGACCGUCGGCCCGACCGCUGCCUGUGGCUCUACCGGGCUCGCGGGCUGCCGCGACGCCGCCGGACCCUCAGCACAGCAGGAUACGCCGCCGACCACUACACGUUCGCCAUCGCCGCCGCCGGCGCUGCCGCCGCCAAUGGCACCGCCGCCGCCGCCUCUACCACCACCAUCGGCGACACCUCCGACCGGCUCUCCGCCACAUCUGCCAGGUACAAGCGCCGGGCUGGGGCUAGAGCUGUGUGAAGAUACCUCGGCGGUGGCGCCGGCAUUGCGGAGCAGGAUCCAGGCGGACAAAUUCGUCGAUCUAGCUCUACUACUCGAUUCCUAUGACCGGUCCGCUACCGAGCGUCCACCCUCCUUCCAGCUGGUCGACGGCACCUUGCGCGCCGCUCCUCGCGUGACACGCCCAAUUACCUCGUUCGGUGCGUGGAGCAUCGCAUUUACGCGGUUUGCCGGCAUCUACGCCGAGGCGCACCCAGACGCGGCGGUGGGCCUUCUCGCUUACAUGCGGCAGGUUGGCUCCCUGUCCGUGAGCGGUCUGGGCGUCGCAUGGCGCGACUUUGAUGAGACCUUUCGGCGGGCACGCGAAUCAGACCCCGCUCGUCACCCUUGGGGUGCCACCGCCGCUACGUCCCCCUUAUGGCUCAUGGCCAUAGCCAGGGGUGUUGGCGGCGUGGCCAGAGCCGCUCCGGUUCCGCAGCGACAAGCGGCCGCUGGAUCUCGAUUUCGGCCAUGCUUCGCAUACAAUGGCCAACAGGGCUGCUCGGCCCGCGUCUGUCGGUUCACUCAUGCCUGCCGUACAUGCCGCGGCAGUCACCCGGCACAUCAGUGUGCCACUCGACCUGCCCGGCCGGUGCACAGACGCGCCGGCCCCGGCAGCGCCGCCGCCGGUGCAGCCGGCUCCCGCUAAACCAUCUUGUACAUCUGCCGUCGCCUUUUCGCCGAUGGUGCCGGCCGACACGCUCCACCAGCUUCUGUCCGGCUACAAUGAAGAGUUGCGCCACUAUCUAGUGUCGGGGUUUCGCUCUGGAUUUUCCACUGGCUCUGCCAUAACCGGGACAGGGGGGUCAACACACAACCUUCCUUCCUGUGAUCUCGCACCUCAAAUUAUUGACGAUUACGUAUCUUCGGAGCUGAAGGCCGGCCGCCUCGCCGGUCCGUUUGCCGCUGACGGGCCCUCCCCGGUUAAGCGUAUCUCACCCAUCGGUCUGGUGCCAAAAAAGUCGCCGGGCUCCUUCCGCGUGAUCCAUCACCUAUCUUUCCCGGCCGGUGAGUCUAUCAAUGACUACAUACCACGCGAGUUCACGGCCGUGCAAUACGGUUCCUUGGACGAGGCGGUGGAGUACAUCUCCCAUUUUGACCACGCAUUUUUGGCUAAAUCUGACAUCGUGCAAGCCUUCCGCCUACUGCCCACGACCGAACGUGAUUCUGCGCUACUCGGCUUCCGCUGGCGCGGGCUGAUCUACGCCGACCGUGCGCUGCCCAUGGGGUGUGCAAGCAGUGCUCAGAUUUUUCAGACUUUCAGCGACGCGCUGGUAUGGAUAGCGCAGCGCCACUUCGGCGCCGGCCACAUCGUCGCCGUGCUGGACGAUUUUCUUUUUAUCGGCGCGUCGAAGUCGGCAUGUGCGUCGUCCCUGCGGGGCUUCACGGCCAUGUGCCACCUCCUCAACGUCCCCCUCCAUCCCGACAAGACGGUGCUGCCCUGCCAGCGGCUCACAUUUUUAGGGGUGGAGCUGGACGUCGCAGAACGGGUUUUGCGCCUGCCCACCGAUAAAGUGGAGCGAGCAAGGGAUGCCGUGGCCGACCUCAGCCGGCGGCGGAAAGCACCCCUACGGCAAGUUCAGACCUGCAUUGGGCUGUUGAACUUUGCGUGCCUCGCAGUGCCGCUCGGCCGGCCGUUCCUUCGUCGUCUCUCCGAUCUCUGCGCCGGUGUCCGUCGGCCGCACCACCGCGUCUCCCUCACCAGGGCGUCGCGCCUCGACAUGUCAGCCUGGCUUCUAUUCCUGCAGCACUUCAACGGGCGUUCGCUGCUCGAUGAGCGGCGCUGGACGCAGGCGGCCGCGGUGUGUCUGGAGACCGACGCCUCUGCCGGGGUGGGUCUCGGGGCCAUCUGCGGCUCACGCUGGCUGCUCGGGACGUGGCCCGAAUGGCUUCAAGGCGCCGAUAUCGGAGUGCUAGAGCUCGUCGCCGUCGUCGUUGCUAUGCACGUGUGGGCAUCAGACUUGACCCGCCGCUGCGUCAUAGUCCGAUCGGACAACAGCGGCGUCGUCGCGGCCAUUAACUCGCAGUCCCAGUGCUCACCGCCGGGUCCCAGGGUUUUCGUGUGGCGGUUUAUGGUUAGCCAAGCGCCGCGUUCCGUUUUUUGUUUUGUGUUUCGUUGUUGGCCUCGUCCCCCGACACGGCGGGUGGCUUGCGUCCCCCGGCCGCGGGUGGCGUAGUCGCCACAUUUGCGUGCUUAUGUUCUACUGCCGCUGGUUCCUGUGUUAUGUUUAUUCACAUCGACCUGUUUCCUUGAGCGUCCUCCGACACGGCGGGUGGCCUCAGUCAUCCGGCCGCGGAGGAACGACAAGGGGCGUGGUCGCGCAAUAGUUGCGCGGUCGUCACUGUGUUCAUAUGUUAUCCAAGAGUCGCGCGUUUGCCCGCGCUUCCCCGACACAGCGGGUGCGCUGAGUUCGCCACCCGGCUGCGGGGGGCGUGGUCGCGCCACAUGCGUGAUGUAAACCGCGUUCCCGACACGGCGGAUAGUUCUUGUUCUCCGGCCGCGGGAGCGUGGUCGCACCGUAUUCCGUGCCAUUGUAUCUCAGCAUUUUCCUGCGUUGUCAAUGUGUGUGGCGCCUUUUAAUACACAUCACAUCACACAAUUCGCGCAGCAUCAUCAACAUAAAUAACGUCAGUCUCCCGUACGUCUUCUCGCGGUUCGGUGGGGGUAUGGGCGUGGUCACCUCACCAAAAAACCAGAUGGACGUGAAUACAGUCCCAUUGUCACACUGCAUCUGGUUUUGUUGCAAGCGCGAGCUCGACGGAUAAAUGGUCUUUCAGGGGCCCUGGCACCUGGAAAGCAUUUAUCGGUCAGCCGUGCGGCAACGUAGUACAGUGCGAUAUAUAUUAACCGUACCGUAAAGUGAAAUCUACCGUACCGGAGACAGGCGUAGUUGGCGCAUGCGCCGUACGAGCGCAUCGCCUAGCCGCCAUUGUCGCUUCAGAGCUCAACCGCAGCGGACACGAGUGGUUUCUCCCACCACCGGCCCCAUGCGCCCUGCCGUUAAUUAAGGUGUUAGGUAUUGAGUGUUUAUUAUGCGUCGCCUACCGGAUUGUAUUCCUGUGUGCCAUGUGGUCACCUCACCAAAAAACCAGAUGGACGUGAAUACAGUCCCAUUGUCACACUGCA
rnacentral:misc_RNA from 1 species